rnacentral:lncRNA from 1 species
AUCACACGGGUCAUUUUCUGCGUCUUCCUUGAGAAUGAUUUUGCCAUCUACAAGAAGAAAAUGUCUGACUUUUUCAAAGGUGAAGAAGAACCGGAUGACGACAAAGACGAAGGAGGAGAAGAAGAAGAGCGUGAUGAUGGUAAUGUAGCUGCAGACCAUUAAAGCAUAUUUUCAAAGCCUCUCGUCUUUCUCAAAGCUUCUUGACUUCGUUUGUUAUCAGAAAUUGAAUCUUCUAUUUCUGUCUGUUCCUUCCAUGCGCCACCUCGCCAUUAAAAAAAAAAUUUAACUUAUCACACAAGCUUGGAACAAAGAAAUCCUUCAAUUAUGGAUGGCUUUAGAUGGGACAUUCUCCGUCUCCGUUUUCUUUUUUUUUUCUCUUUUAAUUUAUUAAUGUCUUUGUGGUUCCAUUGCUCUCAUACUGCAAUACAAAGGCAAAGCUCCACAAACUGUGGGAAUAAAGACUUUUUUGAGGUUACGUCGAAAUCCAAGUCUACUCGGCUUCACCCAACCCAAAUGUUUUCCACUCUCUUGACCUUCUCUCUGUUUUUAGAUGGGCCGUUAAACAACGACGUGGAGAUGCUCAGUCAAAACCCAGAGGAAAAUCCAGCCGGAGAUGAGCCAAACCAAGAACAACAGGACGAAGAAAAAGAAAGCCGAGACAAAGAUGAAGAUAUGGCUGUGGACGAUGGGAAGAAGGACAGCGAGGAGAAGGGCCUCGCCACUGAAAAUACUGAAGACAAAGCUGACAAAAAAGAACCUGAAGCAAAGAUGGUGGAAGAAGAGCCAGCAAACUCUGCUAAGGAUAAAGAAGGGGUUUCCAGCACUAAUGCCGGCGACGAAGGUGAGUUCAGAUGCUUUUCCACAUCUUCCCGCGUCAUUUGCAUUCCACAGAGCACAUCUCCAUCCUGA